rnacentral:rRNA from 1 species
GCAUCACAUGGAUGCCUCGACUCUGUACUCCGACGAAGGACGUAGCCAGCUGCGAUAAGCCUCGGCAAGCCGCUAGGCAGGCGCUUGUAGCCGGGGAUUUCCGAAUGGGGAAACCCCAUGGAAGUUAUAUUCCAUGACCCCGCACUGUUAAGGUGUGGGGAGGUCACUCUGCGAACUGAAACAUCUCAGUAGCAGGGGAAAAGAAAUCAAAUAGAGAUUCUCCGAGUAGCGGCGAGCGAAAGGGGAACAGCCUAAACCUCGUGCUUGCACGGGGGGUUGUAGGACCUCUUGUACCGAUUCUGCUGUCAUAGACGAACGUCCCUGGAACGGGCGGCCAUAGCGGGUGAGAGCCCCGUAGUCGAAAUGACAAAAGACGGGUGAGGAUUCCUGAGUAAGGUCGGACACGUGAAAUCCGGCCCGAAUCCGGGUGGACCACCAUCCAAGGCUAAACAGGUACAGAGAUCAAUAGCGGAUAGUACCGUGAGGGAACGGUGAAAAGCACCCCGGAAGGGGGAUGAAAUAGUCUCUGAAAUGUGAUGCGUUCAAGGAAUGGGAGCGGGUCCCACUUGUGGGUUCGACGGAGGUGGAUGUUGUUGUACUCGAGUGGAGAAGAAUUGUGAAUAAUGAAUAAAGAAUUAUGAACGAAUGAUGCUUCUAUUUCCGUCAUUCCUCAUUCUUAAUUCUUACUUCUUCAUCCCUUUGAGAAAAGCAGCAAUUAUCCAUCAUCGAAUCCAGAAGCGGGGCCCGUGACCGUGUGCCUUUUGCAUAAUGAGCCAACGAGUUUGUUGUCAGUGGCAAGGCUAAGGCAGUUCAUAGCCGGAGCCGGAGCGAAAGCGAGUCUGAAUA